rfam:Populus trichocarpa scaffold_10_contig_272, whole genome shotgun sequence.
UCCUAUGAUGGCAUGAAAUCUUUGAGACCUGAUUGUAUUCAUCUGAUGACAACUAUAAGCAUUAUUGCUGAGGAC